rnacentral:rRNA from 1 species
UACGUAGGGUGCGAGCGUUAAUCGGAAUUACUGGGCGUAAAGCGUGCGCAGGCGGUUUUCCAAGACAGAUGUGAAAUCCCCGGGCUCAACCCGUGGGAACUGGACUGUCUGUGACUGUAUAGCUAGAGUACGGUAGAGGGGGAUGGAAUUCCGCGUGUAGCAGUGAAAUGCGUAGAUAUGCGGAAGAACACCAGUGGCGAAGGCGACUGACUGGACAUGUAUUGACGCUGAGGCGCGAAAGCGUGGGGAGCAAACAGG